rnacentral:rRNA from 1 species
UGGGGAAUAUUGCACAAUGGGGGAAACCCUGAUGCAGCGACGCCGCGUGAGCGAAGAAGGCUUUCGAGUCGUAAAGCUCUGUCCUAUGAGAAGAUAAUGACGGUAUCAUAGGAGGAAGCCCUGGCUAAAUACGUGCCAGCAGCCGCGGUAAUACGUAUGGGGCGAGCGUUGUCCGGAAUUAUUGGGCGUAAAGGGUACGUAGGUGGUUUUUUAAGUCAGGUGUCAAAGCGUGGAGCUUAACUCCAUUAAGCACUUGAAACUGAAAGACUUGAGUGAAGGAGAGGAAAGUGGAAUUUCUAGUGUAGCGGUGAAAUGCGUAGAUAUUAGGAGGAAUACCGGUGGCGAAGGCGACUUUCUGGACUUUUACUGACGCUCAGGUACGAAAGCGUGGGGAGCAAACAGG